GGACCUGUAGCCCCCUCCCCAAGCCAAGCCUACAACCCAUCCCAUGGUGCAGAGCCCCUCCUAGCUCCCGUUCCCCAAGUCCUACAGCCCCACAUGGUUCGUCUCCCAUCUCCAUACCCUUCCCAUCUUAUCCGUCCACCAUCCUCUUCUCUUCUCAUCCAUUGCAGCUCAGCUUUUCCAGGCCUCUCUUGCAAUGAGCCUAGAGAUGGGGCUCCCUCCUCUCUUCUCCAUGCAUUUCUCCUGAACCUGGUUCCCCUUCUAUUUGCAUUUACCCCUCCCCUCCAUGGAAAAUGUGGUGCUGCAUGUGCGAACCCAGAAAUACACCUGGAAACACAAGAGUCCACUGGGAAGGUGCUGGCAGAGAUUCCCCUUGGGGCUCAGCCUGUAGGCAGCCCAGUUCGUGCACAGUCCUUUAUUAUACAUGAUGGUUUGGUCUUUCUUGCAGGGAUGGAGUACUGGGCUGGUGUUGGGAAGGCACUGGAGAGGGACUAGAGCUCUGAGGGCAUGUUUUACACCUACCUGGAGCCACCUCUGCUGUGACAUGUUGGUUGGGACCAGACCAAAUGGCAGCGGUGGACAUCUCCCAGCAUUAGGGAGAGGGGAGCAUGCCCUCACCUCUCCCCGUGCAAACUCCCCACCGAACACUAGCAGUAAAUCCUCGCUCAGGAUGUGGCCCGCAGAGAUGCCUGCAAGCAAACGGGCUGCAACACCCUGGCACUGAACAGCCCAGAGAGGUGGACGGAGGCCAUGGACCGGGAGCCAUGGGGACCCAAGAGCCGUGGUAAUGCUGAGAGGAAGCAGUCCUUCUCUUCCAGCCUAGGCUCUGGGCACCCUCAGCCCUACGGUGUUUGCUCUACGAGGACGGCGUUCGUCAGCAUGAGCACAGCUUUUGCCUGAUGAUUGAGGUACCCGGACCGGUCUCCGGGUUUGUUGGCUUGCCUGGAGGAUGCCCCCGGCUGUCACUGCUUCCUGAACAGCAGCCAAGCCCCUUACCAGAAGAAAACAAAUGCUGCAACGCCCGCGCCUCCGCCGGCAGGAGCCGUUCGUAGGUGUUGAAGAUCCCAGCAUCCGAAAUGAUAACAGGAGCAAAGAUGUUCACCAAAUCUUGGCCUUUCUUGACGCUCACACCUGGAAGGGAAAGGAUCGUCUGCACUGGUGCCUUUCCAAACACAUUUCCUCCAGCUUUCCGGAUAACGGGAAUGAUGUGGAAGGCAAUUUCCCCGGCCCCCCCUUUGGGGUACCACGCGC